GUGUUUGCUUCAGCAGCACAUAUACAAAAUUGGAACGAUACAGAGAAGAUUAGCAUGGCAAAAGGAUCCAUGCAAAUUCAAGCAGCAUUCCAUUAAAAA
rnacentral:snRNA from 1 species